rnacentral:tRNA from 1 species
CGCGGCCUGGCGGGACAGGCGGACGCGCGCCCCUGGGGCGCACGGGCAUCCCGCCCGUGCGGGCCCGAGCCCCGCGGCCGCGACCA